rnacentral:lncRNA from 1 species
UUCCUAUCAACUACUAACUGGUAAUAAUCUAGAAACAACUCUGUGAAGCCAACAAGACUGUGCCUGAGAGGAAAGCAGUGUUACAGAGAUAUCAUCAUCAAAAUGGCAACCAGUUCCAUGCACAGACAGAAACCACAAAAAACAGGAGUUGCCUACAAUUCCCUCCCACUUUCUGCCUGUUGACCAGCUCUGGCUUCAGCAUCUCUGAUCAAGGACUGAGGAAGGCCCGGCUGUGGCUUACAGCUGAGUCACACCUCUCCAGUAAAUCCUGAGGAGAGUAUGUCAAACCACCGGAAGACCUCAGUCAUGUGGAUUUUCCGGUUCACUCAUGGCAACAGAUUACUUAUUCAGUGUCUACAAAAUGCUGGGAUCUGCUUGCUCUUUCUUCUUUGGAUGUUGCAGUGAGUAAGACAAAAGUUCUCUUCCUCAAGAAGCUUAAAAUCUAGUGGAAAAAAGAGAUAAAAAUGAAUAAUUAUAUCAUAUAUUGACGUUUGCCAAGGAUUAAUUUAAGCAAAUAAAAAGAGGAAUGGAGUUCUUGGGUAAGAUAUUAUUUUAUGUUGAAAAGUCAGUGAAGGCAUUAAUGAGAAGGUGACAUUUGAUCAGAAUCCUGAGUGAAGUAAGUACUCAAAGUAGAAGGAAGAGCAAUUUCAAUGAGCUUGAUGUGGAAGGAUAUUUGGUGUAGCAGAGAAACCACAAGGUGUCCAGUGGGGCUGGAGUGAAGCAAGUGUUGGGGGAAAGUAAUAGAAAAUGAAGUCCAAAAGAUAGUAAGAGCAGAUAUCCAAG